rnacentral:rRNA from 1 species
UCAAGUAGACAAGGGCGCACGGUGAAUGCCUAGGCACUAGCAGCCGAAGAAGGACGUGACGAACUACGAAAAGCUUCGGGGAGUUGUAAGUAAACUAAGAUCCGGAGAUGUCCAAAUGGGGAAACCCAAUGCAGUGAUGCAUUAUUACUAGCCGAAUAGAUAGGCUGGUAAAGGAAGACGCAGUGAACUGAAACAUCUAAGUAGCUGCAGGAAGAGAAAGAAAAAUCGAUUUCCUUAGUAGCGGCGAGCGAAGAGGAAAGAGCCUAAACCAAGUGAUUUAUCAUUUGGGGUAAUAGGACUGCGAUGUAGGAGCGCAAGUAAUAGCAGAACUAUCUGGGAAGGUAGGCCAGAGAGGGUGAGAGCCCCGUAAGCGAAAUUAUGAGCGCACUUAGCAGUAUCCUGAGUAGGCCGGAACACGAGGAAUUCCGGUUGAAUUAGCGAGGACCAUCUCGUAAGGCUAAAUACUAGCUAGUGACCGAUAGUGAACCAGUACCGUGAGGGAAAGGUGAAAAGAACCCCGGAAGGGGAGUGAAAAAGAACCUGAAACCGUGUGUCUACAAAUAGUCAAAGCACAUUAAAGUGCGAUGGCGUGCCUUUUGUAGAAUGAACCGGCGAGUUACGUUAAUUAGCGAGGUUAAAUCAGAAAAGAUGGAGCCGGAGCGAAAGCGAGUCUGAAGAGGGCGAGAUAGUUAGUUGAUGUAGACCCGAAACCAAGUGACCUAUCCAUGAUCAGGUUGAAGGUGUGGUAAAACGCACUGGAGGACCGAACCCGUGUAAGUUAAAAAUUGCUGGGAUGAAUUGUGGAUAGCGGUGAAAUUCCAAACGAACUUGGAGAUAGCUGGUUCUCUCCGAAAUAGCUUUAGGGCUAGCCUCGAAGAAAGGAUAAUGGAGGUAGAGCUCUGUUUGGACGAAGGGCCCGUCAGGGGUUACUGAAUCCAGAUAAACUGCGAAUACCAUGUAUCUAUCUUCGGGAGUCAGACUGCGAGUGAUAAGAUCCGUAGUCGAAAGGGAAACAGCCCAGAUCACCAGUUAAGGUCCCAAAAUCUAUGCUAAGUGGAAAAGGAUGUGGAGUUGCGUAGACAACUAGGAUGUUGGCUCAGAAGCAGCCAUCAUUGAAAGAGUGCGUAAUAGCUCACUAGUCGAGUGACGCUGCGCCGAAAAUUUACCGGGGCUAAGCAUAGUACCGAAACUGUGGAUGUAGUGGAAGACACUACGUGAUAGGAGAGCGUUCUAAAGGCGGUGAAGUUUGACCGUGAGGACAAAUGGAGCUUUUAGAAGUGAGAAUGCCGGUAUGAGUAACGAAAGAUAGGUGAGAAUCCUAUCCACCGAAUGACUAAGGUUUCCUGGGGCAGGUUCGUCCGCCCAGGGUAAGUCGGGACCUAAGACAAGGCCGAGAGGCGUAGCCGAUGGGGAACAGGUAGAGAUUCCUGUACUGCAUUUAAUCGUUACGAGCAAAGGAGCGACGCAGGAGAUAAAGAACGCAUGGUGCUGGAAAUCCAUGUUUAAGCGUUAAGUAUGAGAAUGAGUCAAAUGCUUAUUUUCGUGAAGUACGAGGCGUGAUAAGGAGCGAAAUUAAAGUAGCGAAGGUUCUAUAGUCACACUGCCAAGAAAAACUUCUAGCCAGAGAGAAUGUACCCGUACCGUAAACCGACACAGGUAGUCGAGUAGAAAAUACUAAGGUGAGCGAGAGAACUCUCGUUAAGGAACUCGGCAAAAAGACCCCGUAACUUCGGAAGAAGGGGUGCUGACUAGAGAUAGUCAGCCGCAGUGAAUAGGCCCAAACAACUGUUUAUCAAAAACACAGGUCUUUGCAAAAUCGUAAGACGACGUAUAAGGGCUGACACCUGCCCGGUGCUGGAAGGUUAAGAAGAGAGCUUAGUGCUUAAAGCACGAAGGUUUGAAUUGAAGCCCCAGUAAACGGCGGCCGUAACUAUAACGGUCCUAAGGUAGCGAAAUUCCUUGUCGGGUAAGUUCCGACCUGCACGAAAGGCGUAACGAUUUGGGCACUGUCUCAACCAUGGACCCGGUGAAAUUGCACUAGUCGUGAAGAUGCGACUUACCCGCAGAAGGACGGAAAGACCCCGUGAACCUUUACUGCAGCUUGACAUUGGCUGCCGGUGCGUCGUGUAGAGGAUAGGUGGGAGACUAUGAACCAGGGACGCCAGUUUCUGGGGAGUCACCCUUGGAAUACCACCCUCGACGCUCUGGCAUCCUAACCCGUGGCCGUAAUCCGGCAUGGGGACCGUGUCAGGUGGGUAGUUUGACUGGGGCGGUCGCCUCCUAAAAUGUAACGGAGGCGCACGUAAGGUCUGCUCAAGAUGGUCGGUAACCACCUUUUUGAGUGCAAGAGCAUAAGCAGGCUUGACUGCGAGACGUACAUGUCGAGCAGAUGGGAAACCAGGUUCUAGUGAUCCGGCGGCUCAGAGUGGAAUGGCCGUCGCUCAACGGAUAAAAGGUACUCCGGGGAUAACAGGCUGAUCUUCCCCAAGAGUCCACAUCGACGGGAAGGUUUGGCACCUCGAUGUCGGCUCAUCGCAUCCUGGGGCUGUAGUAGGUCCCAAGGGUUGGGCUGUUCGCCCAUUAAAGC